rnacentral:tRNA from 1 species
GGGGUCUUGGCACAGUGGUAGCGCGCAUGCUUCGCAUAGGUUGUGCUUGCAUGAGGUCGUGAGUUCAAUCCUCACAGUCUCCA